CUGCAGGUCUGUAACCGCAAUAGCGAGUAGCUGGCGAGAGAAGAUCGGCUCCCGCCGCCGCCUCCAGUUGUCUCCUUUGUGCUCAGCUAAGCGCCUGAGGCUGGGGCCCUGCUGUGUCCUGGUCCCAGAGCCCUGCCCCGCCUCCUGCGGGAAGGUCGUGUCUUUAAGGUAAAUUUGGGAAUAAUGAAAAAUAAGUGAUUGGAAUAUGGACAAUUUGAUCAGAGGAAUUCCAACUGGAAAAAAUAAAAUUCUACAGAGACAACUCCCAAGUUAGAACCUCUCUAUAAGAUCUUUUCACAGAAAGAAGAGAUUGGGGUUUGAUACCUGACUGAGAGAUUACCAAGAGAUUGCAGCAAGUGGCUGUUUCCUGGAAGACUUUGUCUGCAAAACAAGGCAAGCUUUGCUGGCUGCACUCACUCAUCUCAACCUUCCAUCGUCUGCACCACCUCCUUUACUCCUAGAAGUCCAAGGCCCUAUCCUUUUGUUUAGCUCUAUGUAAGCUUCCACUGUCUAAGCAUCCUUUGAGUCUCAUGUUGUUCGUGUGUAGUUUCUGUAUUUAGUACAUCAAUAAAUUUGUCUGGUUUCUUCACUAUUAA